AAAUAUACUGAACUAUUUGUCAAAUUUAUAGAAGAUAAGUAAGAUAUCUUAUCUCGAUGUAUGAAAUAUAUUUAUUUAUAGAAUAAUUUAAUUAAUAAUUUAAUUAAUAAAAAGAUGAUUAAACGGAGACAAUAUUGGAAGAUAUACCUAACCUACUUAAUUAUUUGCACAAAGAAAGUCAAGCACAUGAGAUUUUUUUAAAUAAGUAAUUAAAAUAUCUGGUUACUAAUCUUUUAAGGAUCUUCAGUUUUAAAUCUCAGAGGAGGAUUUCUCGAUUUUACAUUUGGUAUGUUAUUUUUAAAAUGAUUCAGAGGUUAAUAUUCUUUAUUUCUUUUCAAUAAUUUGCAUCUUUUAUCGAUACUGUUUAAUUUAAACAUAUAUAUUCGCAUGAGUUUGCUUAUUUCUUUUCAGAAAAAGGAAAUUGUUAAGUAACAAUUCCGUUGGUCUGUUUAAAAAAAGGUAAAUGAAUGGAUGACACAAUAUGUAUUAUAAAGCGCAAUGAAAUUCUGUAUUAUACAACAUAUAUAAUAAAAUAAUACCAAAAGUUAUAGAAGUAAAAAAUAAUAAUAUUAAUAUUAAUAAUAAUAAUAAUAAUAAUAAUAAUAUUAAUAUUAAUAAUAAUAAUAAAUGUAACAAAUAUUUAAGCGGAAUUUAUAAUAGGGCAUUGGCAAUAGGGAUCUAAAAGUCUAAAAAAUAAAAUACUUAAAAUGACAGAGCAAGGAAUAGGGAGGACGUGGAACGUCUUAAAAUCCUCGUCGCGAGUUUUGUCGAUUAAAAUAUCAACGCACGAUCAGUCGCACAAGUCGAGAGGAGGCUAAAACGAUUUAUCGAUCGAUUCGCAAAUGGCCUGGCAAUCAUCUUUGGAAAAUUGAAAAUAUCCACGGAUUUUUCUAUGCCUGACCAAUUCUGGCUUUAUUCGACAUUACAGCCUUCCGAGGCUUUUACGUUUCAUUCUUUCUUUUUCCGUUCUUCUUCUUCGUCUAAUUACAACUCGCAAAAUCAGAGAUCGCCAUUCGAUACUGCGAUCGGCGAUGGACUCGUCGGAUUGCUCGAGCUGGUCGUCCAUUUAUUCUUGUGUGGAUCCACGCCGAAACCUUCAUCGUAAUUACCUCGUGUGAUGAACAGUUGUUUGAAAUGUGGGAUGCAGUAGAGUUUACCAUUAUUUAAGGUGAACGUGUCCAUCCUGUUUGGGAAAAAAACGAUCGUUUAUUUGAUUGUUCUAUUUAUAGAUUUUGUAUCGGUUGGUGCUGCAGGAAAAGAAAAGAAAAGAGAAAAAAGAGGGGAAUAUGGUCUGUUACGAGGAAGAAGAAGAAAAAAAACAGAGAGAUAAAGUCUCAGGGAAGAUUGUAACGUUACCUUAACACGCAAUUGCACUGCAGACAUCGGAAGCACUGUUUGUGAAAUAUUUUGUUAUUUGUCUCCACCUUUUCUAGGGGGUACACUUUCUUUUCGCAGCUCUCGCACACGUCCGCGCAGCUCGCCUGAAUCUCCUGCGUCGAUUUUAGAUUGGAAGAAAGCAAAAUAAGUGAAAUAAAAAAGUGCUGGAUGAAAAAAAAGUGAUGGGUCGAUAAGGAGAAGAGAUGAAUGUGCGUGUGAUUAUUAUUAUUAUUUUUCUUUUUUUCUUUUUUUCUUUUUUUUUUUUUAGAAAAAAUCUUUGAAAGAAUUCCAAAGGCCAAUUCUCUCUGUUGAUGAGAUGAAACUGAAAGAACUAAUAUUGGGGAUAAUAUUGCACUGCUUCUUCUCGUAUCUUUCACAUUUCCAAUUAUUCUACCACACAAUUCACACCAUUCAUAUAUUUUCGUCAGGAUGUGCCCUUUUAUUUAUCGUUUUUAAUAUGGUCGUAAUAAAUUGUUACACGUGAAAGGUAAACGGUAAAUAACAAGUCAUAUCAUACGUCGCUAAAAAUUAUACAAUCCAAGACGCAACGAAAGUCUACGUGAAAAGUAAUCGCAAUAGUAGGCCGUGAAAUCAAGCGAUCGAUCGAUCAACUAAAUUACUCGCAUACAUAAACAUUUAACUCUCGCCGAAUUAAUAACAAACACGCGAAUAUGUCUCGUAUAUGUAUGUAUGUACGUUUACAUUGUCUCGACAAUCUUUAAAAAAUUAUUGCACUGAAAAUAUUCUCCAUCGUCGAGAAGUGGGUGUUUCUUGAUCGAUUUCACCAACGAAGGAAAAGAAAUACCAAGUCGUGUAGAGAACAUAGGUGUAUGCGCGUGUGUAUAUAUAUAUAUAUGUACAUACACAUACACAUUUUCUAUCUCGUUCUCUCUAUAAUUUUUGAUUAAAAAAGUCACUAAUGCCUCUAAAAAUCUCGCACCUCCGUAAAACUUCUCGAUUCUCGAUACAGAAAAGAAGAGGUCUCGAGAGAGCCCUGAAAUUGCAAUUCGAUUCGACGUUUUUUCAAUUCGCCAAUUCUCUCCCUCUCUCUCAUCCUCUCUUCUUUUCGUUCUCUAGUCCCAAUUCUUACGUCGUCUCUACACGUACAUAUAUAAAGAGAGAAUGAAAAAAAUUUGUCUCGACAUCUUCCUUCCAUUAUCGAUUCAAACUCAUUUUUCACUCAGAAACAGACGAACGAAUAUAAAUAGCAACAAUCUUCGCGAUCGAAAUCAAUUUCAGGGGUUGUUCCCUUCCUCCUUCUGACUCGGGUGCGCUCGUCUAAAUAGAUCAAAAGGGGGUUCGAUAUACGUCGUUCUUCUAUGAUAAACAUAUAAUAUCAUAUCAUAUUCAUUAUGUAUACGUAUAUGGAUGCUUACUGUGCAUCCGCGUUUGGCAAUGACGAAAGAAUUAAAUGUAUCCGCCCUCUCUUCUUUUCUUCCUCUUUGAAUGCCAUUGCGGGAAACCCUAAUCCUUUAUCGAGAUUUCCCAUGUGUGUUCGAACAUUAUACAAAAAUUAUAUAAAAUAAAUGAUAACGUUCGUUCGAGACUCGAUAUUAUUUAUUCCCUAGUAAGGAACGAUGGUUUUUUUCGUGCGUACAAUUCACCGAUUCGAUUAUACACGACAAGGAGGAGUUCGGUAAAUGACAAUGAGAACCCCUUCGAUUCCCUUAUAUCGCUCUGGAGUAUCUCGUUUCUUUGAAUCUUCCUCGCCAACUUCUUGGAACUUUCUAGUAUUAGUGUACGAACCGCGUUCGAUUAUCAAACGAUUGAUUGUACUAAACGUUUUAUCGUAUAAACUUGUACAAAUGUAUAUAUAAUAUGUAGAUCUAUCUCUUUGUAAAAAAUGGUAUUGCGAUUUCUUUUUUUUUUUUCUUUUUUUGGGACAUGUUGGCGAGAAGAUUCGUCCCGGGCAACGAUAAUCGAUUGUUUUUUUCUUUUUUUCUUUUUUUUUUGCUCUCCUUCUCCUUCUCUAAUCGCCUCUAAAACGGAUCAGACAAUCUAGAUCUAUCGUCCGACGAUAAUGCUGUAAAAAAGACUCGAAAUCGUGUAAAAGCGUUCGAAAAAGCUCGUAAAAGAUCCUAAGUACGUCUAUUAUAGCUUGGACCUUGAUUAUCGCAAAACUGUGACGCGAUCUUAAUCAACUCUCGAUUUUUCAUCUCGAAAAUUCAUUACGGUAUACGCCUACUACUACUUACAGUACAAUUCUCUUCUCUAAGCUUUUCGUCUGUCCGUCUUCACUUUUCGCC